AUGUAUGAAACGCUGCAAACGCUGCAAUAUUUCUUAAAUCAACAAAUCAAUCAUAAUCAUGUUCAAUAUCAUCAUACAUUGUCUUUCUAUGUCGUAAUGACACAUUUCACACAAACCUAAUUCCUUUUAAAUUGGAACCAAAUUAUUUCAUGGAAAUAGUAGUAGAGGAGGACAGAAUUGGUGUUACUUUCUGUCUGUGUGUGGCUGAAGACCACAGCAUCAGUUCAUCUUGGUAUCAGAACAGCAUUGGUUUAUAAGGGAGAAACUGGUCAGCUGGAAAGACUAAGAUAGAUACAGUAGGACCAAGUCAGGUGUAUGUUACAUUUGCUUCUCUACACGUGCAGGACUGAAACUUGGGAAUCAGAACUGUCAGCCUUACAGACUGGCCUCAGUUUCUCUAGGACUGCUGUGUGUUCUCUUGCUGACCGCAGUCAUAAGUCUAUCUGUACACUGUGAGUAUUCAACAAUCACAGGUGGUAGGGUGUGUGUGUGUGUGUAACAAAACAUAAAAUGAUACAUUUGUUCUCUGUUCCAUCACAGAUGGCAAUGACUACAAUCAACCAUACUUCAGAGAAGGAAGAACUUCAGACUAGUUACGAAAACCUGACUAAGGAGAGAGACCAGCUGGAGACUUCUUUCAACGCCUUGAAUAAAGACAGAGACCAGUUACGGACCAAUUUUAACACCUUGAUUGAAGAUAAAUACCAGUUACAAAGGAAAAUGUCAGAGCUGGAAAUAAAUAUUUCAGAAGAACUGGGAUAAUAUCCUGUCAGUUGGAUGAGAUUCAAGUCUAGCUGUUAUUACCUCUCUUAUGAGAAAAAAACCUGGAGUCAGAGAAGAGCAUAAUGUAAUAAUAGAGGAGAGGACCUUGUGAUCAUAAACAGUAGAGACAAACAGGUGUUUCUGAAUAAAUUGGCUAACAAUCUGAAGGGACCUGGAAAUUGGUGGAUGGAACAACUCUAACUACAACACAAUCAGUGCAUUUGAAGCAGAGGAGAGGAAGCAACUGAAGACUAUUGAGAUACAACCGGUGAAGGAGGUUGGCUUCAAGAGAGAGUUUGCAUCUGUGGGUAGUCUACACUAGCGUCCGACCCAGGACAAGGUCAAAUCAUUCAUUUAUUGUAAGGUGAUUGUGUCAGAGCCUGACUUAACAGGAUAGACCUAAAGUGUCAGAUAAAACUAUCUGGGACUGGGACUGAACAAAGAGAGGACAGAGAUCCGGUAUGGACAUACAUUUGAU